rnacentral:rRNA from 1 species
CCUACGGGAGGCUGCAGUGAGGAAUAUUGGUCAAUUGGCGCGAGCCUGAACCAGCCAAGUCGCGUGAGGGAAGACGGUCCUAUGGAUUGUAAACCUCUUUUGUCGGGGAGCAAAAGACGCCACGCGUGGCGUUCCGAGAGUACCCGAAGAAAAAGCAUCGGCUAACUCCGUGCCAGCCGCCGCGGUAAUACGGAGGAUGCGAGCGUUAUCCGGAUUUAUUGGGUUUAAAGGGUGCGCAGGCGGAAGAUCAAGUCAGCGGUAAAAUUGAGAGGCUCAACCUCUUCGAGCCGUUGAAACUGGUUUUCUUGAGUGAGUGAGAAGGAUGCGGAAUGCGUGGUGUAGCGGUGAAAUGCAUAGAUAUCACGCAGAACUCCGAUUGCGAAGGCAGCAUACCGGCGCUCAACUGACGCUCAUGCACGAAAGUGUGGGUAUCGAACAGGAUUAGAUACCCGGGUAGUC